rnacentral:lncRNA from 1 species
GAGGAGGCUGGGAGGAGGCUGGGUAAGAGCGCAGUUGGUGCUGAGGGGACUGUACAUUGUCCCCUGGCUGAGUGCAGAUAGUACAGUAGGGCUGUCUCUGAAGGCAGGGCAGCAGGAGGCAGAGUGGGCUCUGGUUCCUGGGGCUCCGUCGCUCACCCUCCAUGCAGGGAGGUGCUGUUUGACUUCGCAGCAGCUGGUCCCUGUGAGGACGGCUCUGCCCGUUUUGUGUGUCAGCCAUGGAGCCGUCGGGCAGCCUGUUUCCCUCUCUGGUAGUCGUGGGUCAUGUUGUCAGUCUGGCUGCUGUAUGGCACUGGCGUAAGGGGCAUCGGCAGGCACAGGAUGAGCAAGAUGAACGAGACCGUGUGCAGAAGAAAACUUUCACCAAGUGGGUCAAUAAACACCUUAUCAAG